CUCUCACACACGGAAUAUUGUGACAGACUGACAAGCAGAGUGAGAGAGGGAGCCAAUGUAAGAGGGGGGAGGGACGGGAGGAGGAGAAGGACAACCCAACCAAAACACACAGAAGAGUGAGCGAGCCUCUGAAUGUGUGACGAGAAAGAGAAGGUGUCAGAUAGGUGAGUGGUGUAAAGACGAGUCAAAGUAAGUGUGGUCGACCGAAAGGAGGCAAAGUGUCUUGGAGCAUGUCUCUCAAUGGGAAGGUGGCUCUGGUGACUGGGGGUGCUCAGGGCAUUGGGAGAGCUGUGGUCCAGUCCCUCCUGCAAAGCUCAGCAAAGGUGGCUGUGGUGGACCUGAACAAGAUCUGUGGUGAAGAGUGCAGGACACAGCUGGACGCUGAGUUUGGAGAAGGCCGCAGCACCUUUAUUCAGUGUGAUGUGUCCAAUGGAGACUCACUGCGAGAUGCCUUCCAGAGCACAGUGGACCGGUUUGGUCGUCUGGACAUUGUCAUCAACAAUGCUGGGAUCAACAAUGAAAAGAACUGGGAGAAGACCAUACAAGUGAACCUGACAUCGGUAAUAAAUGGGACCUACUUGGCUUUGGAACACAUGAGUAAAGAGCACGGCAAAGAGGGUGGUACUAUCAUCAAUGUAUCAUCCAUGGCAGCCUUCCUGCACUCUCCUCACCAGCCGGUCUACACAGCUACAAAACAUGGCGUAAUUGGCUUCACAAGGGUUAUGGCUGUCACUGUCAUGUUUUGCAGGACGCGUCCUCUCAGAGCGACUACGGCGUGCGAAUCAAUGUGCUGUGUCCAGCUUUCGUCGACACCCCUCUGCUGCACUCAGUAGAACAAGAGGAAUAUAUGGGGAAGUUUGUCAAGUUCAAGGACGAUUUCAAACGCAGCAUGAGCAAGUUUGGAGUUUUACCGCCGUCAUCGAUAGCUGAAGGCAUGAUGAGAUUGAUCACGGACACCAGUCUUAAUGGUGCCGUAAUGAAGAUAACACGCGCCAAAGGAAUCCACUUUCACACCUACGAACCCAUGUCUGCUUGAGUGUUGGCUAAUGGACUCCACCUUGGAAAGGAGAGCAGUAGCGAGCAACCGAUUGAGGACAACAUGCAGUUGUGUGGAGAGCAGAAUCCCCUGGAUCUUUGGAUUCCGCUGCGCCAAUUUGCCUGAACAUGACUUAAUCAUGUAAAUACAACUAAUUACUAUGGUAAUAAAGGGAUAAUUAUAUGACAAUAGCAGCUAUUUCUAUUGCAACACAAAAUGCUAGCCAUGCAACCAAAAAUGCUGAAUGUUUCCAGUGAUUUUCGACAUCAUGUAGCUUCUGUAAUUAAGCAGUAUUAUUCUUAACGACCUGUAACAAUUAUUAUUUAAGAGCUGAGUAAUAUUUUUACAUAAAUUAAAAAACCCUGUGGGAUUAAUUGCAUGUGUCAUUUCUGAACUUUGA